rnacentral:rRNA from 1 species
AGUCGAGGGGUAGCAGGAAGUAGCAAUACUUCGCUGACGACCGGCGCACGGGUGAGUAACACGUAUGCAACCUACCUUCUACAGGGAGAUAGCCCGGAGAAAUUCGGAUUAAUACCCCAUAACGCAGGGAUACCACCUGGUAAUAUUUGCUAAAGAUUAAUCGGUAGAAGAUGGGCAUGCGUUCCAUUAGCCAGUUGGUGAGGUAACGGCUCACCAAAGCAACGAUGGAUAGGGGAACUGAGAGGUUUAUCCCCCACACUGGAACUGAGACACGGUCCAGACUCCUACGGGAGGCAGCAGUGAGGAAUAUUGGUCAAUGGACGAGAGUCUGAACCAGCCAAGUCGCGUGAAGGAUGACUGCCCUACGGGUUGUAAACUUCUUUUGUAUGGGAGUAAAAAGAGGGACGUGUCCCUUAUUGCAAGUACCAUACGAAUAAGCAUCGGCUAACUCCGUGCCAGCAGCCGCGGUAAUACGGAGGAUGCAAGCGUUAUCCGGAUUUAUUGGGUUUAAAGGGUGCGUAGGCGGGAUUAUAAGUCAGCGGUGAAAGUUUGAGGCUCAACCUUAAAAUUGCCGUUGAAACUGUUUUUCUUGAGUAUAUUUGAAGUAG